rnacentral:misc_RNA from 1 species
ACGACGACGCGAAAUAAUAGAAAUUCAACGUUUCUUGCGAGAAGUCCAUCAACCGCUGUGUUUUCAUUCCCGAGUUCAGUGUUAAAAAUUCAAAGUGAUGCAAUUGGUAAUUGCAAUUUGAUGAAGAAUUCGGUUGGCUUCAUUUUUCGAGCGCAUGCUACUUAUUUUUAUUUUCUCGCUGCUUUCAUUGUUUUCGAGUAUUUAUAUAUUAUUAACACAUUAUUAUUGAGAGCGAGCUGAAACGAGUCUUCUACGGUGGAGCAGUGAAAUUAUGGCUAUUGCAAAACAGUGAAAUUUAAUGUGUAAACUAACGAAUUAUGAGGUGAAGGUAGUGGCAAGAAUGAAACUAUUGAAAUUAUAAAUGCAAUUCAAAGAGAAAAUUUGAGCAAUGAAAUAAAAAGUGCUGUGAAAAAAUACGAAACCCAACAAUGCAGCUUCAGAUAAAUAAUUUGUCCGAUUAUUUAUAUUAUUAUAUUGUGUGGUAAAAUCAGUAAAAUCUAAGUGGAAUUAAAAAAGUUUACUAAUAAUUUAAUAUAGUUGCAAUAUGCAUAGAAUGCAAGUAACAAACGUUAGAAGAAAUAUCUUUGUUUUCCUUAUUCUGUAUUCAUCGCUGCAUCAUGGAAAACUGACAAAUGCAACAAAUGAUGCUGAUAAAAAACCAAUUGAAGCGGAAUCUUUAACCCACAGCGAAGUACCCAAUGCAAAUCCGACGUUUAAUGAAGGGGUACCGACUGUGACAACAGCAAUUCCGGGGAUACCUCCGCCACAAGUGAACCUUAAUAAAUGCUGUCGGUACAAUGAACAUAUGGAUAUGAAUAAAACUUGUGUAAUGGGCAAUUCCAAGUUGUGGGUGCCUUUGAUAUAUCGUAUUUUUCAAAAAAGAUAUCAUAGUCCUCAAGGAGGGAAACCAAAAUUUAUGACAUUUCAGGAAAAUGUGCGUCCAAUUGUAUAUGUGGAUCAUAAUAACUCGAGGGAGGAUGUGUCGAUGGCGAAUGAUACAAAAGAAACAAAACGUAGUUGCACUGAAGAAGAAUUGGAACUUUUCUCGGCUGGCGGAAAUUGGUUAAUAUUUUCUAACGGUUCAUUAUUUCUGGGUGAGAGGAAACAAUUUAUCGAACCCCAGCGAUAUUGUGUUGAUAGAAAUGUCGCACUAGUCUGCUUCCCUAAAGAGCAAAAUACUCAGCAACGAAUAAAGAUAAGGAAAUGCUGCGGUUGGAAUGCAAUUUACGAUGCUACAAACGAAACUUGCAUAUUUCCCACCAGUAAUGAUGGUAUUAGUACACCUGAAUUGCCUUUAAAUAAAAGCUUGUACGAGACAAUAUACGGGUUUCCCACAUGCCAUCAUAAAGUUGUACCUUAUGCCAUUGCGGGCGAUUGGAACGAAAACCAAAUGGAUGACGAAGAUGGAAGUCUGAAAUUGCCUCAUAAAAACAUAUCUUCUGGUGAUUAUUGCCUUGAACAUUUUCGCGAAAAGGGAGUAAUUGCUGCAGUUAAAAUAUUCACAUGCCUUCAUCACUUUUCUACCGAAGCACCUGCUAAUGCAAUAGCGGCUGUUCGUAGCACUACUAGUAAUAUGGUGCAAGCAGCUGCUCUCAACAUUGGAAUUGUUAUUUCAGUAGUUUUUCUAGCUGCUACGUUGAUAGCUGGGUAUAUGAUGCCCUCCGUUCAUCAUAUGCUUCAUUGGCGUUGCCAGAUUUACUACGUUUUUUGCUUGUUUGUUGGAGAUUCAAUACUCGCCUACACACAAUUAUCCCACUCAUUGGAGCAUGGUUCAUUCACCUGCCUUUUACUUGCUAGCACAAUGCAUUUCUUCUUUCUAUCUGCUUUCUUUUGGCUGAAUACCAUGUGUUUCAAUAUUUGGUGGACUUUUCGCGACUUUAGACCAAGUUCUCUUGAACGCAAUCAAGAACUGCUACGCUUACGACUAUAUUCGGCGUAUGCUUGGGGUGUGCCCUUAUUGAUAAGCGCAAUUGCUUUUACAGUAGAUCAUUUGCCAGAGACACAGUUAUUACGACCAGGAUUUGGAGAACGUAGUUGUUGGUUUAGCGGCGAGCAUUUAUCAAUUUUUGCAUACUUCUUCGGCCCAAUUGGACUUUUGCUGUGUGCUAACAUUGUACUUUUCAUAUCCACUACUCAUCAAUUAACAUGUGGCUUGUGGAAGCGAGACGAUGUCAAAUCGACCACUGAAAAAACCGCACUGGGGAAAGUAUGUUUAAAACUAGUCGUAGUAAUGGGCGUUACCUGGAUAGCCGACGUAAUUUCGUGGGUAGUUGGAGGACCCCAUUCUGCUUGGUUUUUCACCGACAUGAUAAACGCUCUGCAAGGAGUGUUUAUUUUCAUUGUGGUUGGUUGCCAACCACAAGUUUGGGCCGCUUGUAAGCGUUUUUGCUGUCCCCGUUCGCGACAAGAGAUUACAAACACAACGAAUGGCGUACAGCAUUCAAGUUCUUCGCAAGGACUACCAUCGGUCGGAGGAUAUGCAGGUGGUGAAAUUACGCAGAAUACGUCAGUAAAUACCACGUCUAUAGGAGGUAGCCAGCAGACGCAAACAAAAAUACCGAUGGAAACAGUAUGUUAAGUAUUUCUUCAACGAAAGCACAAUUUCAUUUCACAGACGUCGGCAGUUUAUUCACACCGAUAUAUGCACAACAUACCAUAGCAGCUGGACGACGGUGAGCGCAUCGAAUGCCGAAGAUCAGAUCACUGCAAAGCAGUGAUUCCACAACAAUUACAAUAACAAAAACAAUGACUAAAGUAAUUACUACAACAAAAACAAUAGUAUUAACGUAAGCAAUAGCCAACAACGCAGAUCGACGCACAUUGCAAGAUACUCGCAGACAAGCAGACAGUAUUGCAAAAACAAAAAAGAUAGAGAAAAGCCAACCAGCGAAACCAAAUUGGAUAAAAAAAGAAGAGGGAAAAAAUAGAACAAAAUGAGAAAACAACUACAACGAAUAAGCGAAAAAGAAAUUAUACUAUGUACGUACAAGUAUGUAAGUAAUUGACAAAGCUAAAACGAAGCUGCUUCUAUAAAGAAAAAUCGCGGCGAACAUUAUUAGCGUAUAAUAGCUAUAGCUGUAGUCGUGGCAACGCAGCAGGAAGCGCAGAUAUGUGGUGGGGUAGGUUGGAAAUUGCAAGCAAGAAUUAUUAUAUUCAGUUUGAGUAACGAUUUCACGAAUGUAAAGUAUGGUAUGUACACUUAUACAAUAUACGUAUAUGUAGUCGCAUAUGUAUAUGCUUCUUGCAUUGGAAUACUUAUGGAUGAAUGGACAUUUGGACGGAUGGAUACACAGUAUGUGGGGUAGAUGAAAAAAUGGUUGGUUGAAUAGUUGAAAAAAUGAGUGAUCGUGAUUGCGUAUGGUUUGUUGCUCUGAAGCUGCUGCUGCUCGACUAGGUGCGUUCGUAUACUUAUGCUUACACAAAUAUACUAAAACGUAUCAAAGUACUUAAAAGAUUUCAUGACCAACAGACGGCUGCUUCCCUAUUCUUUUCUGCCUGCAGAAGAUUGACGAAUUCCCAUUGGUAAACUAUUCUUAUGCUAUCGCUAAUAUUUUUAUUUUCCUCACAAUACAAAUUGAUGAACGCUUUAAGACUACGAUAUUUAUAAUGCUACGCUAAUAGACUCUAUUUAUGAAACUUUACCAUAUACAGCAGAAUUUCGAUAUGUCAUACGGUUAACCAACCAAACCACACACGUACCACAUAUAUUAACCACAAGCUCAGUUUGCACAAUAAAAAUAUUUGCUUUUCUGUACACAUUGAUUUGCAUACUCACACUCACAUACCAAUGCAUUUAUAUUAUUUUAAGCCAAAAUUUAGCCGUACAAAUUGGAUUUUUUUAAUUAAUUUCGAAUAUUUACAUACAUACAUACAUAUGUGCAUUUAUUGUUGAAUAUUACUCAGCAACGUAAAAUACGUUCACACACGAACUCUUUAGUUGCUCACAUCAGCAAAAUCUCUUAUUGUGUCGCUCACUGCGUUCUCAUUGAGUCGGCCAAAAGUAUUUUAAUUAACAAAUUUUUAUCUUAUUCACCCUUUGCUCAAAUGUUUCUUAAUACAUUAUGCAUAUUUGCAUAUUACAUACAAAAAUAAAUAAUAAAAUUAAAAUUUGCUAAAAUAUUGUAAAUAUUAAUUUGAAACCGAGCGCAACUGCUACCAUGCAGCGAACUGUUACGAUAAAGAGCACAAAGCACGAGCACGAGUGGCGCGGUCUCUUCAACUUUCCUCGUCCUAACGACAAAAGAGUCUGUGUAUGAACGCAGUCUAUGUUGCUGUUUGAUGUUGUACGAUGUGUGUACGUAUCGAAGCUCCACUGCAUAUGCCUAUAGGCUUUACCUUUGCUUGAGUAUUUUGCAAAAUUGUUAAUUUAAAUAAAUAAGUUAAGAAGUGUAAACAUAAGCCUCAAAUAUUUGUGUUGAGUUUUGCUCAUAAGCUCAAUUUGUUUGCUCCGAACAUAUUUUAAAAAUAAAAUUUUAAGUAAUAAUGUACAUACAUACAUAUGUAUGUACAAUGUUAAAAAAAUUAACAAUUAGCGCAAAAUUGUAAUUACAUACAAAAUAUUUGAAGAAAUGUAACUUUAAUGACUGAAUGCGCGCAGCUACUCUUAUGAAUUGUAUAAACUCUUCAUGUGUUUUUAAAUUUGUUAACUAUGUAUUAUUAUUUUUUUAAUUUUUAUUUUAUUUUAUAAGCAAUUGUACAACAAUUAACAUAUUGUAGUUAGUCAUUUUGCAUUAAAUUAUACUCGAAUAAAUGAGAACAACGAAUAUUGCUGCUAUAAAUUUACGUUAACAGUAUGUGUAAGCAACUAUUUACAUACAACUUUAUGUAUUUCAUCUUUUGAACAUAUGUAGUAUAUGAUAUUAUUGCGGCAAAACUGCAGUGUCAUAAUUGUAGUAACAUACUAUAUGUUUUUAAUUACACUAGUAUUCAAAUUUGCACAAAGUAUGCGAAUUAGCGCACUAACAUCUUUCAUACAUUUUACAUAAGACAAUAAACAGACUUUCGUAACAUAAAUAUA